UACGGGGGUGGCGAGCGUUACUCGGAUUUAUUGGGUGUAAAGGGCAGGUAGGUGUCUUGCCAAGUCAGGAGUGAAAUCCUGCGGCUCAACCGCAGAACUGCUUCUGAAACUGGCAGGAUUGAGGCUAUAAGAGGAGGGCUGAAUUCCCGGUGUAAGGGUGGAAUCUGUAGAUAUCGGGAGGAACACCAGUGGCGAAAGCGGCCCUCUGGUAUAGCCCUGACGCUGAACUGCGAAAGCUAGGGGAGGAAUCAGG
rnacentral:rRNA from 1 species